rnacentral:rRNA from 1 species
AAUGAACGUUGGCGGCGUGGAUUAGGCAUGCAAGUCGAGCGCGAACCCCGCAAGGGGUGAAAGCGGCGAAAGGGAGAGUAACGCGUGGGUAUCUACCCUCGGGACUGGGAUAGCUGCGGGAAACUGCAGGUAAUACCAGAUGACGUCCCCGGACCAAAGGUGUGAUUCCGCCUGAGGAUGAGCCCGCGUCCUAUUAGCUAGUUGGUAGGGUAAUGGCCUACCAAGGCAAUGAUGGGUACUGGGUGUGAGAGCACGACCCAGCUCACUGGGACUGAGACACUGCCCAGACACCUACGGGUGGCUGCAGUCGAGAAUCUUCGGCAAUGGGCGAAAGCCUGACCGAGCGACGCCGCGUGUGGGAUGAAGGCCUUCGGGUUGUAAACCGCUGUCAGAGGGGAGGAAUGGGCGGAGGGUAAUCUCUUCGUUUUGACCUAUCCUCAGAGGAAGUACGGGCUAAGUUCGUG